rnacentral:rRNA from 1 species
AUGGAAGCUAAAAACCUGUCAUUGAAUGACUCCCCGGAUAAGAUCUUGUGGGCCUUUGGUAGCAAAGGGGAGUUUACUACUAAAUCGUUAUAUGAAUGGUUGGAAAGAAAUCUUUCGGGUCCUAACUAUAGGAUGGUGUGGAAAGAACCUAUCCCGCUGAAAAAUUAAAAUUUUCCUUGGCAGCUGUUUCAGAAUGCAGUUCUCACUCGAGAUAAUAUGCGCAUUAGAAACUGGCCUGGAAAUCCUGUUUGCUCCUUCUGUACUGAAGUCGAAACAGCAAAUCAUCUGUUCUUUACCUGUUCUCUUGCUCGUUCGGUUUGGGGGGUGUUGGGCAUGACGGCUGGGGCAUCCUGUUGUCCUUGCUCUCUGUGGAAAAGCUUUGCUUGGCUUUAUAAGUUCUUUCCGGAUGGGAAACAUUUCUAUAUGAUGAUUAUUGCUACAAUAUGCUGGGGGAUUUGGACCAUCCGCAAUAGUCACAUUUGA